rnacentral:lncRNA from 1 species
AAGUUAUUUGACAUAAUACAACCAUGGUAUAGAGGCAAUACUGUCAAACAAGUUCCUGCAUUUUUCGACAGUCUGCAGCUUGAUAUUCUUACAGCACCUGAUCCAAAGGGUGACCGCCAAACCUGGAUCAGAUAUUCAAAACUUAUGAGAUCAGCACUUGCUCUGAAAGCACCAGCAGUAAGAUCUGGGCUGAUCAUCAACUUCUAUAAAGUGCUCCUCUUGCGACUCGUAGUAAGGCCUUUAGACCUUCAAAAACUUCUAAAGAGGCUCGGAGAUAACUGGCGUUUGUGUGCAAGACAACUUGAGCUAUUCUUGCGAGUCUACAUGUACAAUAGUGACAUUUCAGAGAACUUCAUCUAUGAUAAAUGGGAACAGAAUCAUUGGCAUAUCAUGACAUACUCUCAGCACUUUAUUGAGCAUGCUCUUCUUUGCUUAAAGGUAACUGCCGACUGAUCUCACAUGUCUUCAAUUUCUCAUGUGUCCCCACCUGAGAGAGGAGCCCCUAUCCCACCAACAUUUGCUGACCGUUUCCUCAUGUUUCUAUUAGAGUAAGCUUCACUCUAGAGUACUGUUAAAAAUACAUAUAUCACUAGGAUUUUAACUUUAUUUUGAAUACCCAGGUUUCGAGCCGGUGGAAAUGCUGCUUUUUAUGAAGGUGUCGUAAGAGGAAUUAAAUCUAUUAAUUUGUUCACAUUGCACGUUCCAUUUUAUUCAUUGAAUGGUAUGAUGGAGAACUUGCUAUCGUCCAGGAUGAGUACCCUAGGUUGGUGCAUUGCCCUCUAAGUUGAUAUCAUCCCUUCCAUAUCUAAGGCUGUUUUUAUUAAGAAGUCUUGUCUUUCCAGUGUAUACAAUGAACUGCUGCAUUCUGUUAUUUCCUUCCUUGUGAAACAUGGUAUUGAUAAAAAUGUGGCAACAGAGCAUGCAAAACUUGAAAUAGUGGGUUUGCCAGAACCCAAAAGUUAUCCUUUUGUGAUCUAUCACCUGCUAUCUAAACAGAUAAUGACAAUUUGUAUUUGGAUCAACUAGGAAGCUGAUGAUUUAAUUGCAUUUUUUUUCACAUGCAGCACCCAAAAGUUUGUGCGCAUUGUUGAAGAUAAUGAAAUGGUUCUUCCAUACAAACUGCACAAUAAUAUUUGGGUAAAUGCGACUACACUGGCUGGAAGAGACAUGGGUCUUGGUUAUUUGAACCAUAUGUUUGAUAAGUUUGAUAUUGGUAAAUGUUGGGGCAGAGGAGAAAAUGAAUGGGAUGAAAACAAUAUGGAAGUAAGGAGCAAAGGGUGUCAUCAAAAAAGAAGCUGAUCAAGAAGUAACUCAAAAUUUGGUUGUAUAUAACUUGCUAAAGUUAUUUGACAUAAUACAACCAUGGUAUAGAGGCAAUACUGUCAAACAAGUUCCUGCAUUUUUCGACAGUCUGCAGCUUGAUAUUCUUACAGCACCUGAUCCAAAAGGGUGACCGCCAAACCUGGAUCAGAUAUUCAAAACUUAUGAGAUCAGCACUUGCUCUGAAAGCACCAGCAGUAAGAUCUGGGCUGAUCAUCAACUUCUAUAAAGUGCUCCUCUUGCGACUCGUAGUAAGGCCUUUAGACCUUCAAAAACUUCUAAAGAGGCUCGGAGAUAACUGGCGUUUGUGUGCAAGACAACUUGAGCCAUUCUUGCGAGUCUACAUGUACAAUAGUGACAUUUCAG